AGAUUAAGCCAUGCAAGUGUUAGUUCAGGUAACGAAACUGCGAAUAGCUCAUUUAUACGCUCAGAAUCUAUUUGGCGGCGACCAACAGGUCUUAAAUGGAUAGCAGCAGCAACUCUGGUGCUAAUACAUGCGAUUGUUUCUCCAGAUGUGAAUUAUGGAGGAAAAGUUGACCUCAUCAGAGGCACGCCAUUCGACUGAGUGACCUAUCAGCUUGUACUUAGGGUCUUUACCUAGGUAGGCUAUCACGGGUAACGGGCGGUUACCGUCGGACUGCCGGAGAAGGCGCCUGAGAGAUAGCGACUAUAUCCACGGGUAGCAGCAGGCGCGAAACUUUCCCACUCGAGACUUUCGGAGGAGGUAAUGACCAGUUCCAUUGGUGCCUUUUGGUACUGUGGAUAGGGGUACGGUUUUCCACCGUACCGAAACCUAGCAGAGGGCCAGUCUGGUGCCAGCAGCUGCGGUAAUUCCAGCUCUGCGAGUUUGCUCCCAUAUUGUUGCAGUUAAAACGCCCGUAGUCUGAAUUGGCCAGCAAUGGUCGUACGUAUUUUUACGUUCACUGUGAACAAAUCAGGACGCUUAGAGUAUGGCCACAUGAAUGACUCAGCGCAGUAUGAAGUCUUUGUUUUCUUCCGAAAACAAGCUCAAUGAGAGCCAUCGGGGGUAGAUCUAUCUCAUGACGAGUGGUGGAAUACUUUGACUCAUGAGAGAGAAGCUGAGGCGAAGGCGUCUACCUAGAGGGUUUCUGUCGAUCAAGGGCGAGAGUAGGAGUAUCCAACAGGAUUAGAGACCCUGGUAGUUCCUACCUUAAACGAUGCCGACAGGAGUUUGUCAUUUGUUAAUGGCAGAAUCUUUGGAGAAAUCAUAGUUCUUGGGCUCUGGGGGAACUACGACCGCAAGGCUGAAACUUGAAGGAAUUGACGGAAGGGCACACCAGGGGUGGAGCCUGUGGCUUAAUUUGAAUCACACGGGAAAACUUUACAGGACAGAUGUUUUUUAUGACUGACAGGCUUCGGGGUCUUUCAAGAUAUUGUUUUUGGUGGUG
rnacentral:ncRNA from 2 species